AAUCUAAAGUUGUAUUAUUAUGAAGAAUAUUAUGACAUGCAAAGUUAUCAACAUUACCUGAGACUAAUGAUGCCAAACUUAUAUAUAAGAUCAGAUUCAGGAACAUUCUGAGUUUCUAGCAGGUGCUUUAGGAGUAGUGACAGGUCUGAUGUGGAUUCAGUGAGUAUAUAAACUACCAGAGUGUUAUUAAGAAAAUAAGUGAUGCAUGAACACACUGCCCCCAACUGACAGGAAACAAAGCUGAUUCACUGUAACUGAUGCAUAGCAUCAAAGCUGUUGGAAUACAAUUUAUAGAAUUUAAUAGAUUUAUAUUGUGAUCUUAGCAAAUAUGUCUAACAGGUGAGCUCUCUGAGGGUUUUUGUGAGGUAAAAUGCACAUUUUUAGUCCUGUGCACGUGUAGCACAGAAGCACAUGCCAUUGACUUGAGCUUGUCUUGACUUUAGAGAACGAAGAUGUGCUUCUUUCUCUCCAUCUCCACUAACUUCAAAGAGCUCUGUAUAUUCAUUCUUAAUAAUUGUUUUUUUAUAAUACACAGAUCCUAUGAGUUUAAGGUCUGGAGCACCAAUCAGCUGCUGAUACCACAGAAUAGUGACAUAGUCAGUAAUACUGUGGCUGCAUUUGAGAUCCAACGUGUCAUUAAGACUCAACAGUACAGUACAUCUGGAGGAGGUGAUGUACAGUUUACAAAUUGUGGUGAAGAAAUGCACCAGGGUUUUUGUUGAGAAGGAAGAUAAGCCACGGCACUGUGUAUACUAGCAGCGCAAAAGUACACCGCACUGUCUUCAGCUGAAAGUCUCUAUAGUUUUAAAACACUGUUUUUAUUUGCAUCACCAUCCAGACUUAUUUUAUUUUCGAAUUUAUCUUCAACUGUAUCACUAGAACCCACAAGAUAUCCAAGCAACUCCAAACUUUCACCACGUUUUUGCUUGUACCAGAGCAUGACAUUGUAAGAAGAACUAUGAGAACAGCGGAGUUCUUCUGAUUGUCCAGAAUUUUUGAUCAGAUCCUUUGGAGUCUGAUGAAUGUCUUGACUAUUUGAAAUAUCUGUAAAAAAGGAGGGAAAAUAUGCAAAUUAUUUAAUACAGUCCUGUUUAUGCAUUUACUGAAUAAUUAUUUAUUAAUUUUAAUUUUUAAUAAUAAUAGUUAUAUUGCAUAGUUGUAAAAAGCAUGACUUCACACAAAAUGUGAAGGAUGUGUAUAGUCAUAUAUUUUAUACCUGAGAGACAGAUGAGAAAAGAAACACUGAUGAGAGUCCUGAUCAUGUUUACUUGAACGUUCAGAGAACAGAUGUGUGUGUGUGCAAACCUUCACUGUCACCUUCACUCGUUACCAUAGUGUGAUUGACAAUAAAAGUAAAGUUUGUUCUGAGUGUAAUGGUAAG
ensembl:lncRNA